AUGGGUAGUCGCAGGUGCUCGUCCGCCGUUGUCCUCGCCAUCUCUGUCGUGGCGCUUCUCAACGCGGCCGUGGCGCUGUGCGGCUGCAGCUACAAGCGCAUCUUUGCGUUCGGUGACUCCCUCGUCGACACCGGCAACUUGUUGUACUCCAUCGGCAACAGCGCGUCGCCAAUCAAGGAGCUCCCCUACGGCAUGACCUUCUUCAAGCACCCCAACGGCCGCGUCACCGACGGCCGUGUCGUCGUCGACUUCUACGCGGAAGCGCUCGGCCUGCCGCUGCUGCCGCCGAGCAUCCCGGAGGAGGCGUCCGGGCAGUUCCCCAAUGGCGCCAACUUCGCCGUGGCAGGCGCCAUUGCGCUUCCACCGGAGUACUACAAGACCAAUUACAACUUCACGAUGAACGCGCCUUCCAACCUCGACCGGCAGCUUGCCUCCUUCAAGAAGGUCCUCGCGCGCAUCGCUCCCGGGGAUGGUGCCACGAGGGCUCUCCUGAGCGAGUCCCUGGUGCUGAUGGGCGAGAUCGGCGGGAAUGACUAUAACUUCUGGUUCAUCGACCCCAGGAACCCCCGCGAGACACCGGAGAAGUACCUACCCGACGUGGUCACCUGCAUCGGCGCCACCCUGCAGGAGGUGAUCAACCUCGGCGCCAGGACGAUCGUCGUCCCUGGCAAAUUCCCUAUCGGAUGCUUGCCGGCGUACCUGAGCGCCCACGAGAGCAAGGUCACGGACGACUACGACGAGCUCCACUGCCUCAAGUGGUACAACGAAUUCUCCCAGAAACACAACCUGGCGCUGCGGCAGGAGGUUGUGAGGCUCCGGUCGCAGAACCCUGGCGUCAAGAUCGUCUACGCUGACUACUAUAGCGCCGCCAUGCAGUUCGUCCAGAAGCCGCAGGCGUACGGCAUCGCCGACCCACUCGUGGCGUGCUGUGGCGGCAAUGGGCCGUACCACAGCGGGGCGUGCAACAACAAGACGAAACUCUGGGGCAGCCCCGACCGCUUCGCCAAUUGGGACGGCCUGCACAUGACGGAGAAAGCGUACAAGAUUGUUGCCGACGGUGUGCUGGACGGGCCGUUCGCGGACACCCCUCUGCGCCAUCUUUGCUAG
rnacentral:rRNA from 1 species